CCUCAUUACUUGGUCUCUGUGGGUCUCUAACAUCAGUGGCAAGUUACAAAUCUCUAACAAGCCUAAAAUCAAAUGACUACCUUGCAAGUCCUACAACAGAGAUGACAAGUCCAGGUCUGACUCCAUCCUGAAAAAUUAAUCUUGUGCAUCUUAACGUGCUGCUGAACGCAGAUUGAAACAUGACAUCUGAGGACAGUGACUUUUUCUCCUUUCUUGGAGCUCUUGGAAUAAAGUGGAUCUGCUAAUGUGACUUCAGGUUUCUACACAGUUCAUUUCACGCUAGUUUUAGAGAUAGUUUGUUAAAGUUUGCAUGAGGUAUGUCUCGAUCUUCAGUAGUGUUCACUGUCCACACACCCUCCCCUAAACAGAAUGCUGAACUAUAUGCUACUAUUUCCAUGUGUAUUUUGUUGCCUUGAUGUACGAUACUUGUUGCAUGUAUAUUAAACAUUUUGUACCACGCA